rnacentral:lncRNA from 1 species
CAUCACCAGGUCCUCGAACACAUCACCCUCCUGUGUCCUCGGAACAUUCUCCUGCCCCUCAGCGUUCUCUCUAAAACCCAGGGUGCCCAGAAUGGAAUCUAACACAGCGACAGACGGCAAUACUAACGGCAGCUGGGAUCGACGGGCAGGUGUCUCUCGUGGGCCCAUCGUCUAGGGGCUGAGCUGCCGAGAAAAUGAUAACUUCAUCAGCUGAAUACUAUUGUGCUCAAAGGAAUGAUGAACUGGAAGGAUUCCAUGUGAACUGGAACGACCUCCAGGAACUGAUGCAGACCGAAAGGAGCAGAACCAGGAGAACACUGUACACAGAGACUGAUACACUGUGGUACAAUUGAAUGUAACUGACUUCUCUACUAGCAGCAAUGCAAUGGUCCAGGACAUUUCUGAGGGACUUGUGAGAAAGAACUGUGGGAGCAGAAACACCAAAGAAAAACAACUGCUUGACUACAUGGGUCAAAGGGUUAUGGAUGGGGAUGUAGACUCUAAAUGAACAUCCUAGUGCAAACAUCAACAACAUGGAAAUAGGUUCUGAUCAAGGACACAUGUAAAACCCAGUGGAAUUGCGCAUCCCUUCAAAACACCCUGUUUUGGGUGUGGGUAAGGGUGUGUGUGUGGGGAGAGGGAUAGAAUAUGAUUCUUAUAAUCACGGAAUAAUGUUCUAAAUUGACUAAAUU